rnacentral:rRNA from 2 species
GGUAGCAAUACCCUGAGUAAARMGGCGCACGGGUGAGUAACACGUAGGUAACCUSCCUCUWAGWCUAGGAUAACCUGUUGAAAGACGAGCUAAUACUAGAUAAGACCACGGUCCCCWMRGGGACAGGGGUCAAAGGUGGCCUCUGCAUGCAAGCUAUCACUUAGAGAWGGGCCUGCGCACCAUUAGYUAGUUGGUAGGGUAAUGGCCUACCAAGGCAAAGAUGGUUAGYUGGUCUGAGAGGAUGACCAGCCACACUGGGASUGAGACACGGCCCAGACUCYUACGGGAGGCAGCARUGGGGAAUCUUGCGCAAUGGGCGAAAGCCUGACGCARCAACGCCGCGUGGGUGAUGAAGGCCUUCGGGUCGUAAAGCMCWGUCGGAAGGAACGAAUGCUUCCGCCACGAACAAUGGCGGAAAGUGACGG